rnacentral:rRNA from 1 species
GACGAACGCUGGCGGCGUGCUUAACACAUGCAAGUCGAACGCUGAAGACCUGGCUUUUGUUGGGUUGGAUGAGUGGCGAACGGGUGAGUAACACGUGAGUAACCUGCCCUCUUCUUUGGGAUAACGCCCGGAAACGGGUGCUAAUACUGGAUAUUCACUGAUCUUCGCAUGGGGGUUGGUGGACAGGUUUGUUCUGGUGGGGGAUGGGCUCGCGGCCUAUCAGCUUGUUGGUGGGGUGAUGGCCUACCAAGGCUUUGACGGGUAGCCGGCCUGAGAGGGUGACCGGUCACAUUGGGACUGAGAUACGGCCCAGACUCCUACGGGAGGCAGCAGUGGGGAAUAUUGUACAAUGGGCGAAAGCCUGAUGCAGCGACGCCGCGUGAGGGAUGGAGGCCUUCGGGUUGUAAACCUCUUUCGCUCAUGGUCAAGCCGCAACUGUGGGUUGUGGUGAGGGUAGUGGGUAAAGAAGCGCCGGCUAACUACGUG